GUGCCAGCAGCCGCGGUAAUACGUAGGGGGCGAGCGUUAUCCGGAAUUACUGGGUGUAAAGGGUGCGUAGGCGGUAUGGCAAGUCAGUUGUGAAACCCCCUGGCUCAACCAGGGGCUUGCAAUUGAAACUGUCAUACUUGAGUGCAGGAGAGGAAAGUGGAAUUCCUAGUGUAGCGGUGAAAUGCGUAGAUAUUAGGAGGAACACCAGUAGCGAAGGCGGCUUUCUGGACUGUAACUGACACUGAGGCACGAAAGCGUGGGGAGCAAACAGGAUUAGAUACCCUGGUAGUCCACGCCGUAAACGAUGAGUGCUAGGUGUCGGGGCCGUGAGUCCCGGUGCUGAAGUCAACGCAUUAAGCACUCCACCUGGGGAGUACGUUCGCAAGAAUGAAACUUAAAUAAAUUGACGG
rnacentral:rRNA from 1 species